GACGAACGCUGGCGGCGUGCCUAAUACAUGCAAGUAGAACGCUGAAGAGAGGAGCUUGCUCUUCUUGGAUGAGUUGCGAACGGGUGAGUAACGCGUAGGUAACCUGCCUUGUAGCGGGGGAUAACUAUUGGAAACGAUAGCUAAUACCGCAUAACAAUGGAUGACACAUGUCAUUUAUUUGAAAGGGGCAAUUGCUCCACUACAAGAUGGACCUGCGUUGUAUUAGCUAGUAGGUGAGGUAAUGGCUCACCUAGGCGACGAUACAUAGCCGACCUGAGAGGGUGGUCGGCCACACUGGGACGGAGACACGGCCCAGAGGCCUACGGGAGGGAGCAGUAGGGAACCGUCGGCAAUGGGGGCAAACCUGACCGAGUAACGCCGAGUGAGUGAAGAAGGUGUUCGGAUCGGAAAGAUCUGUUGUAAGUUAAGAACGGGUGUGAGAGUGGAAAGUUCACACUGUGACGGUAGCUUAACAGAAAGGGACGGCUAACUACGUG
rnacentral:rRNA from 1 species